rnacentral:piRNA from 1 species
GGCACAGAAGAAGUGCUCAAAUAAGCAGAUGC